GCCCAGGUGGUGGAAUUGGUAGACACGCUAGUUUCAGGUACUAGUGCUAGUGAUAGUGUGCAGGUUCGAGUCCUGUCCUGGGCACCA
rnacentral:tRNA from 5 species